rnacentral:rRNA from 1 species
UGGGGAAUAUUGGGCAAUGGAGGAAACUCUGACCCAGCGACGCCGCGUGCGGGAUGAAGGCCUUCGGGUUGUAAACCGCUUUCAGUAGGGAAGAAGCGAAAGUGACGGUACCUACAAAAGAAGCACCGGCUAACUAUGUGCCAGCAGCCGCGGUAAUACAUAGGGUGCAAGCGUUGUCCGGAAUUAUUGGGCGUAAAGAGCUCGUAGGUCGUUUGUUACGUCGGAUGUGAAAACCUGAGGCUCAACCUCAGGCCUGCAUUCGAUACGGGCAAAACUAGAGUUUGGUAGGGGAGACUGGAAUUCCUGGUGUAGCGGUGGAAUGCGCAGAUAUCAGGAGGAACACCAAUGGCGAAGGCAGGUCUCUGGGCCAAUACUGACACUGAGGAGCGAAAGUCUGGGGAGCGAACAGGAUUAGAUACCCGGGUAGUCCGGUC